rnacentral:tRNA from 1 species
GGAGGGGUGGCAGAGCGGUCGAAUGCACCGGUCUUGAAAACCGGAGUCCGUUCACGCGGACCGCGGGUUCGAAUCCCGCCCCCUCCGCCA